rnacentral:rRNA from 1 species
UACGUAGGGUGCAAGCGUUAAUCGGAAUUACUGGGCGUAAAGCGUGCGCAGGCGGCUAUGCAAGACAGAUGUGAAAUCCCCGGGCUCAACCUGGGAACUGCAUUUGUGACUGCAUGGCUAGAGUACGGCAGCGGGGGAUGGAAUUCCGCGUGUAGCAGUGAAAUGCGUAGAUAUGCGGAGGAACACCGAUGGCGAAGGCAAUCCCCUGGGCCUGUACUGACGCUCAUGCACGAAAGCGUGGGGAGCAAACAGG